rnacentral:rRNA from 1 species
UUCCAGCUCCAAUAGCGUAUAUUAAAGUUGUUGCAGUUAAAAAGCUCGUAGUUGAAUUUCGGGACCAAUAUGUCGGUCGUACUUUGUACGUACUAGCAUUAUUGGUUUCUCCCUUCUGAAGAACCACGAUGUCAUUAAUUUGGUGUCGUGGGGAAUCAGGACUGUUACUUUGAAAAAAUUAGAGUGUUUAAAGCAGGCUCGCGCUUGAAUACAUUAGCAUGAAUAAUGAAAUAGGACGUUUGAUUCUAUUUUGUUGGUUUCUAGGAUCGACGUAAUGAUUAAUAGGGAUAGUUGGGGGCAUUAGUAUUCAAUUGUCAGAGGUGAAAUUCUUGGAUUUAUUGAAGACUAACUACUGCGAAAGCAUUUGCCAAGGAUGUUUUCAUUAAUCAAGAACGAAAGUUAGGGGAUCGAAGACGAUCAGAUACCGUCGUAGUCUUAACCAUAAACUAUGCGACUAGGGAUCGG